rnacentral:lncRNA from 1 species
UAUAUAUAUAUAUAUAUAUAUAUAUAUAGAACAGGACUGCUGUGCUCUCAGGAGCACGGAGGCCUNUCAUAUGAGCAUAGUCUGGGUGUGAUUAGUGAAACUACUUUCAUCAAGUCUUCGGUGCAGCUUCAGUCUCAGCGCUCUCCUCCACGACGUUCGUCUCAGCAGCGUUCCACUCCACCUCCUGGUCCUUCUCGUCCGUCGG